GGUGAGAUGGCCGAGUUGGUCUAAGGCGCCAGGUUAAGGUGUUAAACUAUUAACAAACGGUUUUUCACAAUCUCCUGGUCUAGUAAUAGGCGUGGGUUCGAAUCCCACUCUCAUCA